AUACUUACCUGAUGGAAGAAACAUCCUAAUCAUGAAGGUGAUUUUCCCAGGGCAAGGCUCAUCCACUGCAUUCCGCAUGUCUGAGAUUUCCCCAAAUGUGGGAAACUAGCCUUCAUAAUUUGUUGUAGUGAGAGACUGCAUUCAUGCUCUCCCCUG
ensembl:snRNA U1 U1 spliceosomal RNA